rnacentral:rRNA from 1 species
UGAUCAGCCACGACGGGACUGAGACACGGCCCGGACUCCUACGGGAGGCAGCAGUGGGGAAUAUUGGACAAUGGGGGAAACCCUGAUCCAGCCAUGCCGCGUGUGUGAAGAAGGCCUUUUGGUUGUAAAGCACUUUAAGCAGUGAAGAAGACUCUUCGGUUAAUACCCGGAGACGAUGACAUUAGCUGCAGAAUAAGCACCGGCUAACUCUGUGCCAGCAGCCGCGGUAAUACAGAGGGUGCAAGCGUUAAUCGGAAUUACUGGGCGUAAAGCGAGCGUAGGUGGCUUGAUAAGUCAGAUGUGAAAUCCCCGGGCUUAACCUGGGAACUGCAUCUGAUACUGUCAGGCUAGAGUAGGUGAGAGGAAGGUAGAAUUCCAGGUGUAGCGGUGAAAUGCGUAGAGAUCUGGAGGAAUACCGAUGGCGAAGGCAGCCUUCUGGCAUCAUACUGACACUGAGGCUCGAAAGCGUGGGUAGCAAACAGGAUUAGAUACCCUGGUAGUCCACGCCGUAAACGAUGUCUACUAKUCGUUGGGUCCCUUGAGGACUUAGUGACGCAGCUAACGCAAUAAGUAGACCGCCUGGGGAGUACGGCCGCAAGGCCUAAAACUCAAAUGAAUUGACGGGGGCCCGCACAAGCGGUGGAGCAUGUGGUUUAAUUCGAUGCAACGCGAAGAAACUUACCUCGUCUUGACAUAUCUAGAA